UAGGGAAUCUUCGGCAAUGGACGAAAGUCUGACCGAGCAACGCCGCGUGAGUGGAGAAGGUUUUCGGAUCGUAAAACUCUGUUGUUAGAGAAGAACAAGGACGUUAGUAACUGAACGUCCCCUGACGGUAUCUAACCAGAAAGCCACGGCUAACUACGUGCCAGCAGCCGCGGUAAUACGUAGGUGGCAAGCGUUGUCCGGAUUUAUUGGGCGUAAAGCGAGCGCAGGCGGUUUCUUAAGUCUGAUGUGAAAGCCCCCGGCUCAACCGGGGAGGGUCAUUGGAAACUGGGAGACUUGAGUGCAGAAGAGGAGAGUGGAAUUCCAUGUGUAGCGGUGAAAUGCGUAGAAAUAUGGAGGAACACCAGUGGCGAAGGCGGCUCUCUGGUCUGUAACUGACGCUGAGGCUCGAAAGCGUGGGGAGCAAACAGG
rnacentral:rRNA from 1 species